GCCAGGCAUGAUGGCACAUGCCUGUAAUCCCAACAGCUCAGGAGGCUGAGACUGGAGGAUCGUGAGUUGAAGCCAGCCUCAGCAAAAACUCAGUGAGACCUUGUUUCUA
rnacentral:sRNA from 1 species